ensembl:lncRNA
AGGCAAAUUGACAUAUAUUUCACUUAACCUUUUGGUGUCCUAAUCUUUGAGCAGGAACUCCUGUUUUUCACUGGAGGGAGAGACAAGCCCUUCUGAAUGGGAAUCCCAACUUUUAGAAGAGGUGUGUGAAGAACAGCUGAAGCUACACUGUGGGAAAUGAUGAGGAGAGGAGAAUUGUUUGUGGAGAACCACUACUGGGUCACAGAACAGUUCCUAAACCUUUCUAAGCCUGGAUCAAUCUUCACAGACUGUAGGUGCUUGAAAUUACUGAACUGCAGCACUUGCCAGCACUAAACUAGAGGCCUGUAAGGAAUGGGUGGCUGUAUUUCAGAGCUGGAGCCAGUACAGCUGCUUUCUACCUUUCAGAAGUGCAUGAAUUGUGGCUUAGCUUUUGGAGUUCAGACACAGACCACAAGCUGCAGAUUCUUACUACCUACAGAGUCUGGAACAGAGGGAGGGUUGUGCUGCAGGCCUGGAGACAGCUGGGAUAAUUAGAGCACCUGAAGAUCCUGAUAGGGUCUUCAAAGAUAAUCCUGCUUCUUCUUCUCACCCCCACUGAGCUGUCAAGGGUUUCAGUGCUGUGAUAUGGAAUCAUUGCCUCUGUAAGACUGAAAAAAAGCCCUGCUUGAACUGGAUUCUGAUCAAAGAGAAUCAUUUAUAGGAGAGAUGCAGCAGGAACCUCAGGGAAAUUUUUUUUAGCAGCAGGACCAUAUGAAAUGGAAAAGACAAAGCAAGAGACUUUCAAACAUUUUUUAAACUUACAGCUGCAUUAUUAUGGUUUCUAUUGUAUAAUGUUUGUCUUUUUUUGUCUUUUUUUUUUUUCUUUUUUUUUUUUUUUGUAUUUCUUCUAACCUUGUUGCCGUGCUAUUCAGUACCACAGUGAAAUGGGGUAGGACACAUUCAUGUAGCUCCUGUGAAAACAGAUUUACUUAGAAGACCUAGGAAUUACAGAACUGCUUUUUGUGAGGAAGGGAAGGGAAGACAGAACAUUUCACAGGAAGUAGAAAGUGCAUGAGGAGAUGUCAUGUGACUUUACCUUUAAGGUGGUUUUGAGAGCUAAGGAAGUUGAAGUUGCUGGUGGCUGAUGAGAGUCUUUUCUCCUGACCAAUUAUCAGUCAUUACUGGGAAUUGACAGCAGUUUUGACCAUUGAAAAGUGAGAUCAACUUGUGAACCCUACCUUAAGAUGUAAAGUCAGGGCACCUUAGUUCUCUUUGUUUCCUGGCUGUGAAAGUAACAGAGCUCCAGGCCUCCCGUCCCCUGCCCAGGCCAUGCGGCCGGGUGGGGCUGGGCUGGGCCUGCUGCGUCUCCCGGCCGGGAGAUGGGGCCUGCGGAAGGUUUUCCCCGGGCUCUGGCCGGGCCAGGCCGAUCUCUGGCUCGGCUGCAGGUUUUGCUGUGACUGAAUUUACUAGAGAUGCCGAGUGAAGAAAGAAAGAGGCUCUGAACCUGCAGCGGGCUAAAGCGGCGACUAAACUCUCCAGAGCAGCUGUGAAGAACCUUCCAUCCCAGACAGCUCCAGCUCCUGUUCAGCAGAGAUCACCGAACCAUCUACAAAGCCUGGGCAAGAUUUUAACCCUUUCAUUACCCAGAUGAGCCUUGCAGAUUAAUCUUUUUAUCCAGAGAAAGAAAAAGAGAGUAAUCAACAUGAAAAGAGACUUUAUAAACUAUCAGAGACAGUAAAGAAAAGAAGCUUCAGAAAAAGUAGAGAAUAAGGAGAUGCUUUAAUUAAGAUGAAAUAUUUUUCUGUUAAAGCUAUGGAGAUGGACAAUAAAGUCCUGAAAGAACUCCUUUAAUUCA